rnacentral:lncRNA from 1 species
AUGAGCCUAGUUCGAAGAGCCAAUUCGAUCCAAUUUCAAGACAUCUAAUCCUAGUCCUAUUACAAGCUUCUUACCUAGUAUGAGACUUGACUUGGUCGGGCAAUCCAAUGUAGUCCAAUUACGGGGCUUCAAUUCCGUUUCAGGCUGUUCCGUUCUUUGUGCCGUUUUGGGAAUGUCCUUUCUGUAAAAGGAUCUCUUAAAGGCAAAAAUG